ACGCUCGACACCUACGGGAGGCAGCAGUGAGGAAUAUUGGUCAAUGGGCGCUAGCCUGAACCAGCCAAGUAGCGUGAAGGAUGAAGGCUCUAUGGGUCGUAAACUUCUUUUAUAUAAGAAUAAAGUGCAGUAUGUAUACUGUUUUGUAUGUAUUAUAUGAAUAAGGAUCGGCUAACUCCGUGCAAGCAGCCGCGGUAAUCUGAGCGGGCUGGCAAGGC
rnacentral:rRNA from 1 species